UUCAUUACAGAACUGAGUCUUUGUUGGAGGUAAGGAGUGGCAUUUCCAUUUGGCCUAGAGGAAUUACUACAUAACGUACUGGUCCAUUUGAUAAAAAUGCUGUUCCUCGGAAGACUGAGUCCCCGGUUCAAAAUCUCCUGAGGCUCUUGAGCUGAAGUUUUCUCGUUUUCCUGUUGUUGGAAAGCAGUAAAGACCACAAGGUCAAAGUUCCUGACCUCAGUUUUCACGGCAUGCAGAUGCAAAGCUCUGGAGAGAAGGAGAAGGAGAGGGAGAGGUGAAAUGAAACAUUUCUGGAACGGGGUGAGUGGGAAGUUUCAGAUGAUGUGUGGCUGUGUGUGGACCAGAUAAGCCUCUGCUGAAGUUCUAGUGCAGGUUACUGACUUCCUGUCGUUCACAAGUGCAUCCUGGCAUCCAGUCAGGCAAGGAGAGGGAGAGAAAGGAGUUUGUAGAUUAAUAGCAUUACACAAUUGGAGAUGACAG